rnacentral:rRNA from 1 species
ACAGCAGCCGCCACGGUAAUACAGAGGGUGCGAGCGUUAAUCGGAUUUACUGGGCGUAAAGCGUGCGUAGGCGGCUUCUAAAGUCGGAUGUGAAAUCCCUGAGCUUAACUUAGGAAUUGCAUUCGAUACUGGGAAGCUAGAGUAUGGGAGAGGAUGGUAGAAUUCCAGGUGUAGCGGUGAAAUGCGUAGAGAUCUGGAGGAAUACCGAUGGCGAAGGCAGCCAUCUGGCCUAAUACUGACGCUGAGGUACGAAAGCAUGGGGAGCAAACAGGAUUAGAUACCCCCGUAGUCCCUGUCUCUUAUAA